rnacentral:lncRNA from 1 species
UACUCGAUGCUUCCAAGUUUAGAGAGUACACAAUUGUAGAAGUUACUGCAACAAAACGUCGCUUUUAUGAAACGUUUUGGAAAUAAAAUCGGUAUGCCAUGCAGAGGGAAAGGUCAGUAUUAAAUUUAGCUAUUUUUUAAACGUUUUUGAGUUGUUCUUGUUAAGUUAUUGCUGUUUUUUAAACACGUGUGUAUAUAUAUUAUAUUAUUCAAUGUAUUAGUAUGUAUUGAAUUCGAUUCCAUUCAAGCGCUUCGUUUCGGCGCUUAGUCGCUCUAUUUCCUUGGUGUUUCUCCCUCGUUUUCUAGCAGUAAUGUUCAGAAAUACCCCAGCUUUGAUUUAUUUAACUCAUAUUUAGUUUAUCUGCGAUUUCAGGGCGAAAAUUUGAAGAGAAAGUGAACUAAUUUGAGUCGCCGACAUGGUCGAAAAGGCAAAGUACUUGGUAAGCAUAAUGUCCAUUAAAGGCGUUUCUUCUGUUUUUCAUUUUUAAGCUUCCUUUAUACGCCUAGAACGUCUUCUAGUAAAGCCCUUAUAGCUUUAUGAACACUCCCUGUCAAAUUUAGUUAAAAUUUUGUUGAAAAAUUUGUCCGUACAGAGCCAAAUGCCGACUCAUUUUAGGCAUAUUCAAUUCGACAUGCAUUUCAAACAUUUUAGCUUCUACAAACUUGUCGUUUAUGUACAAAUUGUACUCUGAGAGGGAGGGCUAAGCUUUUUUAUUUUUUUGCAUUUGUUUAAUUGAAUUUAAUCCAAAUCAUUUGAAGAAAAUCAGAGAUGUAAUGCCCUCGUGGUUCAUGCCCUAAUUUUAUGCAUGCAUGCACGCAUUCUUUAAAAUUAAAAUAAAUUGAAUUGGACAACCACACCCUGUGUAAACGACAUUAAAUAACCCUUCACUGUUAACACUAAAAAUUCAUUAUCCAACUUUUUUAGAUUGCUUCAAGUUCGAUCAUUUUGACGCCAAACUGUACAGAAACACCCUCUGCACAGAUUUGAAGAGACGCUCGCCUAGCAGUCGAAGCAAAACGAGAAGGCAAAGGACAAGUGAAGACCACCAUCAGCUAAUCCAAUUAUCCACAGCAUUCAUCGUCGCAAAAAUAAAAGUAUAAUGUACUGUACAUGCAAUUUUUCCAAGCCCAUCUCUGGCUAUGUUUUCAUGGAGCACAAUAAGGGCACGACAGUGCAACUUACUUUAAUAGGUUAACUACAAAUAUGAGCAGGUAAUCUGAUUUAUUCAUUGAAUGACAGUGCAUGCUUCUUUCCCUUACAGUAGUUGUGUAUUGUUAGUACUAGUACCGCACAAAUGAUAUGAAAAUUUUCCUUCAUUUCACCCAAAUUGUUCAAAGCUGUUUUAUUGUCCAAAGUUAUUGUUUUGAUAAGAGGAAUUCUUUCCAACAAUAUUCAGAAAUAUUCAGUGCUAUCGUAACAAAAGAGGAACAUUUGUUUGCUUUUUGAAAUGAAAUAGAACAUAUAAUUAUAUCAUUUUAAUGACUUGCUUCCGAUUUUCAGAGAGGUCUUGGAAACAUUAUUAAUUGUUGAUACUUUUGAAAUAUUCAGCAACUUGCCGAUGAAAUUUUUAUAAAAUAUUGCCAUAAAAUAUAUAACAUUCUAAGACUAAGGCUAUAUAUAUAUAUAUAUUGAUACUAUUGAUACUAUUGAUACUAUAAUAAUGUGAAAAAAAGAAAAGAAAAAAAGAGAUGAAAAAGUUUUUUCAUCAAGUGAGAAAAAUUUCCGGAGAAACUUUCCAAAAUUGUUGUCGCUCCAAUAUUGUUUAGGUCCAUUUUUUUAAGUAUUUUAUAAAGCGUAUGCUAUGUAUGUGUAUAUGAAGCUAGUUUUGUUGGCAUGUGGAAAGCAAAAGUAGCGAAGGUAAAGAGAUUAAAAUUGGAUUUAGUGCGUAUUUUUGAAAAAAUUUUACCACCAAAUAUGGUAGUCCCCCCCCCCGUCGAUGACACUUGUGACGUCAGGUACAUACGGGACUUUGGGGGCGGGUUUUGGCGGGAAAAUCUGUAAUGUUUGGAGAAGACAAGAUGGCGCUGGUUACCUCGUGUCAUAUCAAAGGGCAUUUUUGUUCACAAAUACCCGCUUAUUUUACGUUAUAGCGACUGGUUCGUUUUGGAAAUUAUAACUCAAUGGACGGGGAAAAUGAUUCUGUAUUAAAGAGAAAAUGAUGUGCAGUUAUUGUGAUGUUAUUUGUUGUGAAAAACGGCCCGAAAUUUCGCUACUUCGCAGUACUUUAUAAAACAUUUACAAGCAACAGCAAUUGAACUAUAUGACAAAGAAACCAAUGUAUACAAGCCAAUCAAGUUCUUCAGUUUAAAGGUCUGUUUACU